AUCACCUGCAGCUCUCGGUGUGUGAGAAGGUCAAAACAAAAAAAAAGAAGGAAAAAAAAACCUUGUGCAGCAGCGGAGCAAAGUGUCCUCGUUCGGCGACCCACAGAUGAUAUUUUGUGAAUAUUGUGAUAUAACGGUCGUUAAAAAGUGAGUGUGAAGUGAUAUUUACUUGGUGGAAGUGAAAUCGAUCACGGGAGCGACUCCGACGGCGUGUUUCCUCGAACUUUUCUGAACUAUUCUGGCUGGUUUUUUUGAGGGACGAGUUCUUCGAUUCAACUGCAACCUGUAUCGCCCGCUAUGCUGCAUGGAGCAUGCUUGGUUCAUCGGGAGUGUGGACAUCAGUGUGGUAGGAUAAAGUUCAGUCCUGAGGAGUGACACAUUUUAGUUGAAAAUGUGUUUUUUUCCUGAGAGCUCAGUAUUUUCUUUGGGGGGGGGGUUAUUUUUAUUUAUUUUAAUUUUGUUGUUGUUGCUAAAACCAAACUGACGAAGGAACCUAAAAAUUGUCUCCUGCUUAGAGGACCCUGGAAUACAAUAAAUAAACUGGAACAGACAACGGAAAACAGGGAAGAAUAAGGACUAUUAAACCCAUUAAGGGAGGAAAAGAACACUUUUUUUAUUUUUCUCCUAAAUCGGUACUUACCUAGGUCAGCAAAUUUUAUUUCAUACUGUGAAUUUCAUUUAUAUGGAAAGAACUGCAUUUCAUUGAACAAGUGUAAGGAUGAACAUUUUAUGUUUUGGAAAAAAUUGAAUAUUUUAAUAUAUUAUACAUUUAUAUCCCAUUCUGUGUUGUGUGUUAUGUGGGCUGGGGGAUCUAUUGCUCUCGUGCUUUAGUGCUACUGCCAAUCUCCUUACCCGAACCUAAUUGAUCAGACAGAAUCCGAGGAGACUGAGAAAAAGGUUACAUAUGUAUAAUUUCACAGAGAGCCUAUUUGCAGUAUUAUAGUGUGUCAUUACUUUGUUUAUGGUUAUAUGAAGUAAGAAAAAAAUCUAUCUCCGCUAUGUAUUUUGCAGGCGGCACCAUUGCAUCGGGGGCUUAGCACCGCCCAGGGCGGUUGGGAUUGGUUUAAAGAAAUACAAAUGAGCCAGAGGGUUUUUUCCCCUACCCCAACAUAGAUAGGCGGUGUAGCCAGACAAUACUCCAGCGCUGUGGAGAUAGGUCUGGCAAGGUAAAACUAAUUCAGCCCUGACUGUUGAUUGGUUUGAUCUACAGCAAUGCAUCAUAUUUUUUAAGCUCAUCACAGGUUUUGUAUGGAGAUCUGAAUUUGCAAAGCUGUCAAAUACAUGUGGAGUAAAAAUUAAAAUACUUCUUUCUGAAAUGAAGUGAAAUAGUAUAAAGUUGUAUAAAAUGGAAGAACUAUAGUACAAUACUUGAGUAAAUGUACUUAGUUAUAUUCCAACACUGAUCGUAUGGCUCUUACAACUAUGUUUGCAGAACACUGCCCUUAUGACAAACUCAUAAACAAACUGUUACUUUUAUCUCUACAAAAUAAAAA